rnacentral:rRNA from 1 species
ACAUCCAGAGAAUUUAGCAGAGAGGCUUUAGUGGCCUUCGGGGAACUCUGAGACAGGUGCUGCAUGGCUGUCGUCAGCUCGUGUUGUGAAAUGUUGGGUUAAGUCCCGCAACGAGCGCAACCCUUAUCCUUUGUUGCCAGCACGUAAUGGUGGGAAACUCAAAGGAGACUGCCGGUGAUAAAUCGGAGGAAGGUGGGGAUGACGUCAAGUCAUCAUGGCCCUUACGAGUAGGGCUACACACGUGCUACAAUGGCGCAUACAAAGAGAAGCGACCUCGCGAGAGCAAGCGGACCUCAUAAAGUGCGUCGUAGUCCGGAUUGGAGUCUGCAACUCGACUCCAUGAAGUCGGAAUCGCUAGUAAUCGUAAAUCAGAAUGUUACGGUGAAUACGUUCCCGGGCCUUGUACACACCGCCCGUCACACCAUGGGAGUGGGUUGCAAAAGAAGUAGAUAGCUUAACCUUCGGGAGGGCGUUUACCACUUUGUGAUUCAUGACUGGGGUGAAGUCGUAACAAGGUAAGCGUAGUGCU